AGCGCGGCGCCGCCAUGUCGGGAGCGCCGGGCCCGGGAAGAGCCCCGCUGCCCUGCACCGCCCGCGCCGCCGCCCACCUGCAGCUGCCCGGGGGAGCCGAGGCGGCGCGGCCCGGCGUGGCCGUCAUUGACGUGCGCUUUCCCCGCGGCGGCGCGGCUGACGUGCACGAGAUCGUCUUCAAGAACUUCUACACCGCCUUCCUGAGCGUGCGGGCGCAGCGGGCCGGGCCGCCGGGACCCCGCAAGUGGCUCACCUGCCUCCGCGACCUGCGGCUGAUGCCGUGCCCGCACACGGAGCUGGGCGCGCAGGAAUACUUCUCUCUCCGCCGUUCCCAGAUGCUGUGCGACAUGGAGCAGGUGACGGCGCUGCGCUUCAUCCUGCGGCAGCCCUCCCCGGCGUGGCUGCACUUCGGAAUCGAGGAGCUGCAGCUCUUCCCUCCUGGCAGCAAGACCUCCCCGCAGGACGUCCCCUCCUGGUUGUCCCAGCUGAGCCCUCCGGAGCGACCCCUCAGCCUGCACGGGGUGAGUGGGGCUGUCCUGUGCCGUGGGUGGGGCUGCCGGUGGGUGCCACCCUGUCCCGGGGUGCACGGGUUGGUCCUUCCCAUCACAUGGCCCACAUUGUCCAUCUGCAAAGCGCACAGCUGGUGGCUGCUCCAGUGCUGCCAGGCCUUUUGACCCCAACAGAUCGUGGCUUGAGCACUCCAUUCCCAGCGGAUGUACGAAAUCACAGUACCCAACCCCUGGGUGCUUCCAGCCCCCUCCUGGCCCUGCUGGCACCAGGGAUCAUUCCAGAGCCCCAAAACCACUGCCCGGUGCUGGAAGCAGUUUGCAGUUCAGAAGAAAAAUACCCACUGACACGUGCAGCUCGAGGUGGCAUUUAAAUCAGCUCUUCCUCUGCCUGGGGACCGGGGAGGCCUCGUGAGCAGAGGCGGGUGGCAGAGGGAGGCUGACUGGUUGACUGGCAGGUCUGGGCCAGGAGGUGACCAUGGAGACCAUCACAGCCUGCAAGCACCAGUGUUGGGCCUGCUAGGUGGCUCUGGGUGAGCAGAGUCCAAGGAGAGUUGGGGCAGACGCCCAUGUCCCCGCGGGUUGUCACCGUGUGUCCCCACGUCACGCUGGGGUGGGAGGGAGAGGACGUGGGGAGCAUCGCGCAGUGCUGUGCUGGGAAAAGAGGACUGAGUUUGAGCGUCGUGGUUGCUGAACCUUGGUGGUGCAAUUAGGUCUUUAAUCAUUAGCUAAUUGCUGCUCUGGACGCCCGCCAGCGGGGCCGUGCCACCCUCAGGGUCACCGUUUCCCAGCCGCCCAUCAGGGCUGCUCUGUGGGGGUGCUGCCGUGCGGCCUGCACGAGGGCUGCCCCGGCCCUCCCGGCCCUUCCUGCACCGCUCCCGCUGCCUUCCAGGAGCUGCCCGACCCGGAGAAGGUGGCGGCGGAGGUGCAGCAGAUGUGGGCGCUGACGGAGGUGGUUCGCGCUCGGCAGGCGGCCGCGCGCAUCGGGCGCUUCGACGUAGACGGCUGCUACGACG